rnacentral:snRNA from 1 species
GUGCUCGCUUUGGCAGCACAUAUACUAAAAUUGGAACCAUACAGAGAAGAUCAGCAUGGCCCCUGCACAAGGAUGAUGUGCAAAUUCGUGAAGCGUUCCAUAUUUUU